AGCCCGUGACUGAAGCCCCGGUAAACGGUGGCCGUAACAAUAGCGGUCCUAAGGUAGCGAAAUUCCUUGUCGGGUAAGUUCCGACCUGCACGAAUGGUGUAACCAUGGCCACGCUGUCUCCACCCGAGACUCAGUGAAAUUGAAAUCGCAGUGAAGAUGCUGUGUACCCGCACCUAGACGGAAAGACCCCGUGAACCUUUACUAUAGCUUCACAGUGAACUUUGAGCAUGUUUGUGUAGGAUAGCUGGGAGGCUUUGAAGCUGUGUCGCUAGGCAUGGUGGAGCCGUUGGUGAAAUACCAGCCUUUAUUUAUCUGAUGCCUAAUCCCGCGUAUGCGGGAGACAUUGUGUGGUGGGUAGUUUGACUGGGGUGGUCGCCUCCAAAAGAGUAACGGAGGCUUUCAAAGGUUCCCUCAGUACGCUUGGUAACCGUACGCAGAGCGCAAUAGCAUAAGGGAGCUUGACUGUGAGACCUACAAGUCGAUCAGGGUCGAAAGACGGAUAUAGUGAUCCGGUGGUUCCGCAUGGAAGGGCCAUCGCUCAAAGGAUAAAAGGUACGCCGGGGAUAACAGGCUGAUCUCCCCCAAGAGCUCACAUCGACGGG
rnacentral:rRNA from 1 species